CCCGUCUUAUUUAUACCCCUCUCAUAUCUAGUGUCUGGUGUUCCUUUUGUUAUUGAGGUGUGUGGUGUCAUCAUGCCAAGAUUUAAAGAGCUCUGUAAGGCCUUCAGAAAAAGAGGUUGUGGAUGCCUAUGAGUCUGUCAAAUCAGUUCCAGGUGUGCAUCCUCACAACCUGGCUUCUCCCUCCUCCUCGUUACUGCCAAUUUGUCCACGGCUGGCCAUCCCACAAAUUCAGCCCAAGAGAACACUGUCUGAUACAAAAAGAAGUUUCCAAGAACCGCAACAUUUCAUCACAGGAUCUGUUAGUAAGUCUUGCAACUGUUGGUGUCAAAGUGCAUGCUUCUACAAUCAGAAAGAGAUUGCGCAAACUUGACCUGCAUGGGAGGCGUAUCAGGAAAAAGCCUUUGAUGUCUAAAAGGAACACUAAAGCAAGACUACAGUUUGCCAAUGAGCAUGUAGGCAAAGACGAGGCCUUUUUGAAUAAUGUGAUCUGGACAGAGGAAUCAAAGAAAGAGUUGUUUGGCCACAGUAACUGCAGACAUGUUUGAAUCCCACUGAAAUCUUGGUUGGGGAAAAGGACAGUACAUGCAAGAAAACGUCUUACAACUGAAAAAAUAUUGCAUGGAAGAGUGCUCAAAAAUUCCAGCAACCUGUGGACAAUUAUGCAAAAUGUCUACAAGAAGUUAUUUCUGCUAAAGAGGGCAAUACUAGCUUAUGAGGCCAACAGUGUGCUUACUUUUUCCACAGAAAGAAUAUCACAUCUAUUCAUAUUUCUGUCAAAUAAAUGAUUAAAAAAGCUCA